rnacentral:rRNA from 1 species
CCUACGGGAGGCAGCAGUGGGGAAUAUUGCACAAUGGGGGAAACCCUGAUGCAGCGACGCCGCGUGAGUGAGGAAGUAUUUCGGUACGUAAAGCUCUAUCAGCAGGGAAGAAAAUGACGGUACCUGACUAAGAAGCCCCGGCUAACUACGUGCCAGCAGCCGCGGUAAUACGUAGGGGGCAAGCGUUAUCCGGAUUUACUGGGUGUAAAGGGAGCGUAGACGGUUAAUCAAGUCAGAAGUGAAAACCCAGGGCUCAACCUUGGGACUGCUUUUGAAACUGAGUAGCUAGAGUGCAGGAGGGGUAGGCGGAAUUCCUAGGGUAGCGGUGAAAUGCGUAGAUAUUAGGAGGAACACCAGUGGCGAAGGCGGCUUACUGGACUGUAACUGACGUUGAGGCUCGAAAGCGUGGGGAGCAAACAGGAUUAGAUACCCGAGUAGUC